UUGAUAAUAUUUGGAUGUUUUAUUUUCUUUAAAUCAAGCAGGUUACAUUUCAUUAGUUUUUACACAAUCUGAUAUUUGGAGCCAUUUGCAAAUAUACUCAUAAAUUACAUGAUUUGUAAUCCUCAUCGAAAAAAAACAUAAAAGAAUGAGGUGGUUAAUGAUCAAUAUUGGGAUCAACAGUGAUCACCCUACUAAUGUAGGCAUUACGUAUGCAGGCAGAAAAAGGAAAGUUCACAUUAAGGUCUCAUGUGAAACACCACAGGUCUGAAAUACUCAGGAACACAUGAAAAUGGCACAAAUGAAUUUCACUCUCCAACCUUUUGCUAAAGAGACGUUGACAGGCCCACAGAGAGCCUGGAGCUCACGGGACAACAUUCACACACAUUCUGCUUCAUGAAGAGGUGGGUAAAGAUAAAGCAGGUUUAUUGAUGUGGCAAACAAUGGUUCAAAUAUCCUCCAAAGCACUUCAAGUCCUCAAAGAACGAAACUCAAAACGCAGACGAGGUAAAAGAAGAAACUUCUAGAUUAAAGUGGAGCGACCCAGGGACAAGUCUGGUUUGGGUUAAAGAUUAUGGAUGGUUAACUUUGUGUAACGUGUUUGGAGCGAGUUUAGGCAAGCGACUUCAGGUAUUAGGCAAGCGAGUUUAGCCAAGCGACUACAGGCAAGCGAGUCAAGCUAUAAGCGAGUUUAGGUUUUAUGCAAGCGAGUUUAGGUUUUAUGCAAGCCAGUUUAGCCAAGCGAGUACAGGCAAGCGAGUCAAGCUAAGCGAUUUAGGUUUUAUGCAAGCGAGUUCAGGUAUUAGGCAAGCGAGUUCAGGCAUUAGGCAAGCGAGUUCAGGUAUUAGGCAAGCGAGUUCAGGUAUUAGGCAAGCGAGUUUAGGCAAGCGAGUUCAGGCAUUAGGCAAGCGAGUUCAGGUAUUAGGCAAGCGACGCGAGUUUAGCCAAGCAAGUUCAGGUUUUAUGCAAGCGAGUUUAGGUUUUAUGCAAGCGAGUUUAGACAAGCGAGUUUAGGCAAGCAAGUUUAGGUAAGAGAGGCAAGUUACUUUAGGCCUCACUUUAUUUGCGGUUAAAUUGCGGCAUUAGGUUUAGAAAGAAGGUUAAGAUCCAGGCUCAGGUUUGCUUCCAGCCUCGUCCCUCUAGUCGCUCCCUAUAAAGAGGGUUGCCAGCUACCGUGUUAAAAUACAACAGCUGGGAGUACAGAUGUGGAGUACAGAACUAAAUGACAAAGAUUGAUUCAAACAUUCUUCCCCCAAAAUGUGGUGCAACAUAAUGGAGAAAAUAAUGACCUUCUCUCCAUUGAAACCAAGUCAAAUCUUACGAUCUCACGAGGUCCCGCCGCAAGGGGCGGACUUACGAGCUCUAUAGAGUGUGCACUGUGUGUUAAUGUUGGGUGUGGAUUAAAGUGCUGGUGUAGCCAGGGAUCCUCAGGGUUUAUGGGGAGUAGGACACACUGGUGUAGUUCAGUGCUGUGAAGUAAAUUGAUGCAAAAAGUAGAAUCAGUUUGAAGGGCAAUCAAAUGUCUAUAAAUGCAGCAAUACGAGCCUCCAGGUGCAUUGGAGUUACUGCAUUUAAUUAACUUUAAUUUAAUUAAGAGCACACUAGUCAAUGGAGAUGUUCACAGAAAAGACUGGUCUUCAGACCUUUAUAAAGAUCAGGAGGGGAUUAUAUAAUUGCCGUUUGACGCGUUAGGUCUGUUCGAAGAAGUAAAUAUUUACCAGCGUUGGGUCUCUGCACCACGACACCCAGCUGCCGCACAUCUGCUCUCCCUUUAAGUCGCCUGAAGGAGAGGUCAACUUUAUUGAAUCUAAGGGG
ensembl:lncRNA